AUGAACGCUGGCGGCGUGCCUAAUACAUGCAAGUCGAGCGAACAGACGAGGAGCUUGCUCCUCUGACGUUAGCGGCGGACGGGUGAGUAACACGUGGAUAACCUACCUAUAAGACUGGGAUAACUUCGGGAAACCGGAGCUAAUACCGGAUAAUAUAUUGAACCGCAUGGUUCAAUAAUGAAAGACGGUUUUGCUGUCACUUAUAGAUGGAUCCGCGCCGCAUUAGCUAGUUGGUAAGGUAACGGCUUACCAAGGCGACGAUGCGUAGCCGACCUGAGAGGGUGAUCGGCCACACUGGAACUGAGACACGGUCCAGACUCCUACGGGAGGCAGCAGUAGGGAAUCUUCCGCAAUGGGCGAAAGCCUGACGGAGCAACGCCGCGUGAGUGAUGAAGGUCUUCGGAUCGUAAAACUCUGUUAUUAGGGAAGAACAAAUGUGUAAGUAACUAUGCACGUCUUGACGGUACCUAAUCAGAAAGCCACGGCUAACUACGUG
rnacentral:rRNA from 1 species